GCCGGGUGUGGUGGCGCACGCCUGUAAUCCCAGCUACUCGGGAGGCUGAGGCAGGAGAAUCACUUGAAUCCGGGAGGCGGAGGUUGCAGUGAGCCGAGAUCGUGCCACUGCACUCCAGCCUGGGCGACAGAGUGAGACUUUGUCUCAA
rnacentral:SRP_RNA from 1 species